GACAGAGGCGGCGAGCGUUAUCCGGAGUUAUUGGGCGUAAAGGGUACGUAGGCGGCUGGUCAAGUCUGGGGUUAAAGACCACAGCUUAACUGUGGGGGGGCAUUGGAAGCUGACCGGCUGGAGUGGGGCAGGGGUUGCGGGAAUUCCCGGUGUAGCGGUGAAAUGCUUAGAUAUCGGGGAGAACACAUGAGGCGAAAGCGCGCAACUGGGCCCUAACUGACGCUGAGGUACGAAAGCUAGGGGAGCAAACAGG
rnacentral:rRNA from 1 species